GGGGGGAGGCCGGAUCCUGGGCUGUUUCCCUUAGCCCUGUGCUCCCGGGCCUGCGCUGUUGGAUUCGUGCUCCCGGUGACGCAGACCCCU
rnacentral:pre_miRNA from 1 species